AGUGAACGCUGGCGGUAGGCCUAACACAUGCAAGUCGAACGGCAGCACAGUAAGAGCUUGCUCUUACGGGUGGCGAGUGGCGGACGGGUGAGGAAUACAUCGGAAUCUACUUUUUCGUGGGGGAUAACGUAGGGAAACUUACGCUAAUACCGCAUACGACCUACGGGUGAAAGCAGGGGAUCUUCGGACCUUGCGCGAUUGAAUGAGCCGAUGUCGGAUUAGCUGGUUGGCGGGGUAAAGGCCCACCAAGGCGACGAUCCGUAGCUGGUCUGAGAGGAUGAUCAGCCACACUGGAACUGGGACACGGUCCAGACUCCUACGGGGGGCAGCAGUGGGGAAUAUUGGACAAUGGGCGCAAGCCUGAUCCAGCCAUACCGCGUGGGUGAAGAAGGCCUUCGGGUUGUAAAGCCGUUUUGUUGGGAAAGAAAAGCAGCAGGUUAAUACCACGAUGUUCUGACGGUACCCAAAGAAUAAGCACCGGCUAACUUCGUG
rnacentral:rRNA from 1 species